rnacentral:rRNA from 1 species
AUUGAACGCUGGCGGCAGGCUUAACAAAUGCAAGUCGAGCGAGCGGGGGCGGGGUGAGUAAUGUCUGGGAAACUGCCUGAUGGAGGGGGAUAACUCCUGGAAACGGUAGCUAAUACCGCAUACCAUCAGAUGUGCCCAGAUGGGAUUAGCUAGUAGGGUGGGUAAUGGCUCACCUAGGCGACGAUCCCUAGCUGGUCGGAGCGGAUGACCAGCAGUCCGGGAACGUAGACACGGUCCAGACUCCUACGGGAGGCAGCAGUGGGGAAUAUGGCACAAUGGGCGCAAGCCUGAUGCAGCCAUGCCGCGGGUGUGAAGAAGGCCGUCGGUUUGUAAAGCACUUUCAGCGAGGAGGCGUUACUCGCAGAAGAAGCACCGGCUAACUCCGUGCCAGCAGCCGCGGUAAUAC